ACAAAUCUGUAUCAGAAAAUUGGCUGUCAACUGCAUUGGCAGUUCUCGAGUUGGUUUUACCCUAAACUUGACGCAAAUAAAAUAUAGUAAAAUCAUUGGCAUCUGAUACAGCAAUCGUAAACAAGCUACAAAUACCAGGUAUUUUAAAACAAAGUUGCAAAAGUUGGCAGCUAUGAAAAAUGUGAGCAGAGCGCUCGCACAGGUUGUACGCUCACAAUAUUAACGCCAAAAAUGUGCAUUUUUGAAAGUGCUCCAAAUUUCCAGCAUCUCUUAACAACUUAGCCAAACCAACUGCAAAAUGCAAUGCUACUCAGUAUGAACUGCUAUAUUUGUGCAUUUUCAAUAACAAGGCAAUGCACUGGGUGAAGACCAUCUGCUUACACAAAGCCAACAGCUGCCUCUGGAUGAAGCCACUACAUGCCUGCUGCAGGAGAGCCUCAUAUGUACAGUCUGUUUCACACUUAGGGGAAAACUCGCAGCGCCUGGCAAGGCGCUCCGAGUUUUCCCCUAAGUGUGAAACAGACUCUACAUUCAACAUUUCUACAGAUUUUUAGUGCUCAAUUCCACCAUUCAAGAUAAACACUAUGCAUUAUUCAAGUGAAGUAACCAUGGCUUUCCUACAAACAGAAAAGAAAAAGCUAGAGCAUACUUGUUGAGCAUUUUGUAAGUGUGAGAGAAUUCUGAAAGCAGCCUAGGGAAUGCUACAAAGAUAUUUGAUGCAAGUUAUUGUUUACCGAAACUCAAAAACAAGGUUGUCCUUAGUGCAAUUACCAACUACCAUAAAAACCGGAAUAUAGGUCGAACUUUUUUUCAAAAAACCAUUGCGAAAAGUCGACCCUCAUCUUAUAUACCGGACAUUGGCGGAAAAACUAGGGAAGUCUUGCAACAAUGGGCAAAUGAAGUAAACAGCCGCCUUCCCCAUCGCAUUCAGGCUGCUUUUUCACAUUUUGUUUCAAAAUGAGCGGAAGCCAAAGGCAAUUCACCGUCGCCUUCAAGAAAAAGGCGAUUGAGAACGCGGAAGCCCACGGCAACCCGCCAGGUUGCCGUGGGCUUAGUAUCGUGCGACCAUCGACCCGCGUGUUUGUCAGCACCUUAUCAUCACGGCACGGAGCAGCAUUUAAAUAAAUACUGUCACCAUUGUGCAACCGGCAGAGUCGCAUUAGUUUAAGGUAAGGGUGUCUUUCGGUACUUUUGCCAUUGAAAACGAUUUUUUUUUUUUUUUUCAUUUUUAGAAUUGGUUAGUUGGGGGGUCGACCUAUAUUCCGGUUCGACCUAUAGUCCGCUUUUUACGGUAGUCCUCUGGGAGCCUAAAGUCAAACCUGACGAGAUGAAAACUAAUACCCAUUGCUUAAUAGGUGACAAUUUUGCAAAGGCAUUGAAUACCUGCAUUCUUUUAUUCUAUGCUUUCUCAAUUCCUUACUUUCUAAGUCUUGCGGCAGACCUGCUAAAAUUAAACAAAAAUGUUCACCUGUAAGAACUGCCAGAAAUAGACAAGGAUGUUGCAAUACACGGAGCCAAAAUCCAAAAGCUGACCCAAUGAAAUCACCAGCUACUCUGUAGAACUUUAUGCAUUUGAUGCCAGAAGCCCUUGGAUGCAAGACAAUGUUUCGUUCCUCGAACCCACGACAUGAACAAUGCAGGAGGUUGCUCAAAUGCA